rnacentral:rRNA from 1 species
UACGUAGGGACCAAGCGUUGUUCGGAUUUACUGGGCGUAAAGGGCGCGUAGGCGGCUUAACAAGUCACUUGUGAAAUCUCCGGGCUUAACUCGGAACGGCCAAGUGAAACUGUCAAGCUAGAGUGCAGAAGGGGCAACUGGAAUUCUCGGUGUAGCGGUGAAAUGCGUAGAUAUCGAGAGGAACACCUGCGGCGAAGGCGGGUGCUGGGCUGACACUGACGCUGAUGCGCGAAAGCUAGGGGAGCGAACGGG